UUGAACACUCAGUUAGAUGGCAAGUCAUACAGAUGCUAAGUUAGUUCCUGGCUAAGAGGUUAGUUCAGUUAACAGUCAGCUAGCAGGUGGGAUAAACUUACAGAGGAUAAGGCAUAACAGAGUAAGCUAUGGUCUGUUAGGGUGGCUGUGUAGGGGCUAAGUGAACUAGACUAGGAAUGAUGGCUGGGAGCUUCAGGGUGGCUGUGUAGGGGCCAACUAGAGGUGAUAGGAUUACUAGUAGGGGGAGAUAAGCUCAGCCAUAAAAAGGGCCAAACUUAUUGCCUAAACCCAUUUAGUUUCACCACUUAGCAGAGACUAAAAGAAAUAGCAAUAUCAGCUAUAUAGAGUGAGAGUGGAAGAUCUUCGGCUAUAGAAGAAGGAGAAAUUAAGCAGCUCUACUCAUCUAAAGUCUUCAAAUCAAAAAGGUAAGAUAAUUCUGGCUUUUUUCAAUCCUCAUUCCAUUCCAUUUUGUGCCACUAAUGGUCUGUUAUGGCCGAAUGGCCUGGAAUAGACAUAAGGGAUAGUUGUGUUAUUUUUGAGUUGUUAGGUUGACUGUAUAGGAUUAAUUUGGCUAGCAUGUUGUUGUUGUUUUGUUAUGACUGCAUAUGGGUGUUAUAUAUAGUAUAUGAUACCACUAUGAGUAGCAGACAUACCUAUAUUUAUGAUCAACAUGGGAAAGUAGAGACUACACCCCAACUGCUUGAUAAAAUGCUUGUGAAAGGACUGAUUUUGUAACUUUUUAUGCUACCUGUGAUUUAGAGUCAAAGAGGAUGACGAUUAAAUAACAUAUUGUUAUUAAUGAAUCAAGCAUGCUAAAAGGUUACAUAGGCAUAUGGUGAUUAGUUGGGUAGUAUUUAAGAUUAUGUUUUGAUAAAACUAACCCAGGGUAACAUAAAGGGGUUGUCCUACUAAGUUCAUUUUGAAUGAUAUAUUUUGCCUUGUUAUCAGUUCUUAUGCUAUAAAAAGGAUGUCUAUAAUCCUAACCCACUAAUGCUAAUACUUGUGAAGUUUAAGUAUGUUAGUCUUCAAUAAAUAAAAGUCAGUCCUUGUGACUGUUAUUGGAAGUUUCUUAUGAUGAACAUGGUUUGCUUCUAAUAUAUGUAUAUACGCAGUCCUUGUUUCCAUGUUGCCUAAUCAUGUUAUCUUGGUACCUAGAUGUUUUUCAAAUCAUGCUACCUUGUAUUAAUUUGAAGCCCAUGAAAGGCUGUUUUGAACUAAAGUUGGAAGCCUUGUAUGUAGGCUCUUUAAAUCAUGAACUUAUAUCGUAUAGUAUAUACAUGAUGUGAUGAACCUUUGUGUUGCAAACUUAAUAACUGAUUUGGUAACUUGGUGCUAAACCUUGCCUAAAAGACCUAGAAGAGGCAUGACUGACUAUAAGUAUAAUCUGUGUUAGCUUAAAGCAUAAAGACCUUGCCUUUAGAUCAUGGAUAUGAUAGAUACAAAGUUCAUGUUUUAGAAAGACAUAUAUGUAAAUGCUUGCUACUAUUUUGGUGUAAUAAACCAUGCCUAAAAUGCUAGUCUAAAACUGUUAUAGUGUCAAGACAGGCUGACUGGGAAUGGAGUCCAAAAUUAUGUUGAAGUUCUCAUAUAAAGUAUAGCUAUGCUUCAAGUACACUCUAUGCCAAAGUAUAACAUGUAUUGGUGUAACACUUGAGCAAAACAAAAUAAAAAGGACUGAAAUGGUGAGCUCAUUGUUAACUAUUUUAGAAGCCUAUCUCUGGAUAAUUAUACCUUGUAUUUAGGUCUUUAAAUCAUGAACGUAUAGUAUAUAGCAAGUACAUGAUGUAACACUUGUGUUAAGAGUUUGAAGAACUGUUUUUCUAUUUUUAUGCCGUGCUACUGCUGUAAGCUCAAGUGACUAUUAUGCUAUGGUUUUUGCUAUGAUAACUGUCAUGCCCAACUCUUGUUAAGUUUUGUUAAUGCUUGGCUUAGGCACAAGAAGAUAGGUUGGCUGUGGUGUUAUAAGGUGAAUUAAUGGAAUUGUAGAGCAAACAAAUAGCUAUGACACCAGUAAUUCUAGACUGUGCACACCACAUGCUCAACGAAUGUCCCAAGUGGACUGCUUAAAUUAAAAGUAAAGUAUUAGACACAAACAAGGCUGGGAAUUGAUUCAUGUAUUACAUGUGUUGUUAAUUAGCAAGUUAAGCCUCUUAGUAUGAAAUGAAAUUCAGUCUUAAGUCAAACUAAAGAAUUAAUAAAAGUAGCAUGUCAAGCACUAUUUUGGGGCAGUCUAUUAAGACAGUCAUAAUUGUGUUAUAAGUUCUAAAAGUACUUGUAUGUGCUAGACAUAAAAUAUCUAAUGUUAAGUAAAACCAAGCUUUUGUUUCAAAGGUCUUAUAAUUUCUAGAACUACUCUCUUAUGUUAUAUACUUAAACAGGGAGGUAAACCAUCAUAUGGUUAGAAGAAUGAGAUUAAGAAAUAAUAGUCAUGUUAGACUAAAGGAUUGCUGUCUAUAGUAGUGGCAGUUGCAGUGGGUAAGGCUGGGACUCUCUUUUAAGUUCUAAGUCAACUUGAUUAAAACAUUCGUACAACUUGGUUUAUAAUUUAGAGGUGUGAAAAUUGCCUUGUCACCAAAAAUUGUAACAUAUUAAGAGUGAAUCGGUUAUAACUCAGAAAUAGGAUGGGGGGCAACCAUUUUGGCAACUGGGCUUGCUUUUUUUUGGUUUUCUGUUAGUUGCAGUUAGUAAGUUAAGAUAAAAAUUAAAAAGGGUAGCAAAGUUGGGGAUCAAGAGAGCAACCUACUUUCCAAGGACAGUAGCUGUUACCAAUAACAAUAGGCAACUGGAUAUCUCUUAUGAUUUUGUUCUAGCAUACUAAUAUUGUGAAACUGCAUAUUCCAGCUGUUAACUAACUUGAGAUUUGAUCAAAGGAGAGUCAUGGAGCUGCUAAGGCAGUGUUGAGCUUGUUGAACUCAAUAGGAGCUGAGGACAAUUUAAGUGACAUUAACUUCCUUAUUAUCAAAUCUAAAUGACUGUUAACCUCAUGAAACACUGUAGAAUCAUUGUAAGGCUUAGAGGAACAUGGGUUGAGAAGGAGGUGGAGCUACUGCCUAAAGGUAGUAAUAGGUCACAACCAAGAAACUGGUAUGGCAGUUUGAAUAGCCACUGAUAUAAAAAAAAUAUAUAACUCAAAGAAAUAGAACUAGCAUGAAUGGGUGCCUUAGGUUGAAUCUAUUAAACCAAAAUAGGUCUAAUAAAUCCUCAAAGGGCUAUUUUAACAUAAUGUAGAAAGACAGAGAUAGUUAAUGCAUUAGUAUGGAAAUAAAAGCUAUAAAUCAUGGGAUAGACAAAAGUUGACCAUGCAAAUUGGAAAUACCUUCAAAGGCAUAAAAUAAGUUACAAAAGCACCUUGUAUGCUAGAAGUAUCUAAACAAGACAUGAAACACUUAUGUGUUAAAAUCCUGAUAGGAUGUAAACUAUAUAUGUGCUUUGUUUGCAUGUUAUGAUCCUACUAGACCCCAUUAAAGAGAAAAAUGGCUAUUAUAAAAACAUGGAUGAGAUAUUUGAAAAAUGUAUAAAAUAUCUCAAAUAUAGGAAUCUAACUAUAACCAUGACCACUGAAACUACGUGUUAUGUGAGCUUGCAAACUAUAUAACUUGGCUAUGUGGCUAAUAUGCUUGCGAAUGUAAAUAACUAUGUAGGAUCUGUAAGAACACUUCAGUUAAGCUAAAAUCUUAUCAAUAGACUACAAACGAGGUAAGUUUCUAACUCUUACUCUUUAUUGAGCAAGCAUUCUAGAAUGGACGGGUUCUCUAAUUUUUGAACCGUCUCUCAUUAUUUAUGAAUAAUAUAAGGUUAAAUAACCUUUUCAUUUCAAUCAGCUUCAAAAGAAUAUUAUAUCAAACUUUUCUCUCUUAAAUGAGUUUAUAUUGAAAGUAUGUCAAUGCCAUUAUUUUGGUUAGACAAUUGUUGAGAUAUGUUGAUAUUAUUCAUGAAAAUCUCAGUUAAUGUUUUCCAAACCAUUUUGUUGUGGUGCGAAUUCUUAUAUAAUGUUGUGAACGAACAACCCUUUUAUAGGGGCAUAUUGUACCGAAUAUAUGAUUUCAAAGGACAUGUAAAGUGUCAUUAGACUGUUAUGUUGUGCACAAUGUAGGGUACUUAGGCUGAUCCCCUAAAGUAUGAGUCUAGGAAAUAGAACAACUUUAAUAACUGUUUGUAUCCAUGGAUUGCAGUAUUAGUACUGUCAAUUGUAGUACAACGUUCACUAGUCAUUUGACCUUACAGCAUGCUAAAGCCUGAUUUUCAGACUCAACACUUCUAAAGAAUUAUCUUGUUCGGCAUCUAUUUCAUUGUAUACUUAUUGUUAUAAAUAUUUUUGUUCCAUUAUAUUUAACUGCUUAUUUCCUUACUGAGCAAGCUGUUGCUCACCCUUGCGUUAAAUAUAAUGUUUUCAGUUAAAACUGAGGGUGCUGGUCCAUUUGAGAAAGACAAAGGAAAAGGCAAAGUUACUGAAUAAUCUUUUAUUAAACGCCUGUGCUUAUUUGAACUUAAGUAACGAAUGUAAUACAUACUUUGAGUACUAUAUUUUGUAAUGUAAGUUAUGUAAAGGUCUAUAGAACCUGAGAUUUAAGUUUGAUGUUUAUGUAAUAGAAGACAGUUUUCUUUUAGUAUGAAUGGGUAUAUUAGUAUCGUGAGCACCGAACCCAAGUUAAAGAUAAUCUGGAUUUGGGGGCGUCUCAAUGGCUAAAUAAAUGAAUUAAUAUACAAAUUUUG
rnacentral:lncRNA from 1 species